rnacentral:rRNA from 2 species
AACACGUGGGUAACCUGCCUGUAAGACUGGGAUAACUCCGGGAAACCGGGGCUAAUACCGGAUGGUUGUUUGAACCGCAUGGUUCAAACAUAAAAGGUGGCUUCGGCUACCACUUACAGAUGGACCCGCGGCGCAUUAGCUAGUUGGUGAGGUAACGGCUCACCAAGGCAACGAUGCGUAGCCGACCUGAGAGGGUGAUCGGCCACACUGGGACUGAGACACGGCCCAGACUCCUACGGGAGGCAGCAGUAGGGAAUCUUCCGCAAUGGACGAAAGUCUGACGGAGCAACGCCGCGUGAGUGAUGAAGGUUUUCGGAUCGUAAAGCUCUGUUGUUAGGGAAGAACAAGUACCGUUCGAAUAGGGCGGUACCUUGACGGUACCUAACCAGAAAGCCACGGCUAACUACGUGCCAGCAGCCGCGGUAAUACGUAGGUGGCAAGCGUUGUCCGGAAUUAUUGGGCGUAAAGGGCUCGCAGGCGGUUUCUUAAGUCUGAUGUGAAAGCCCCCGGCUCAACCGGGG